GGGUCGAUGGCGUAGUUGGUUAUCGCAUCUGUCUUACAUUAAAUCUCACAGAAGGUCCUCAGUUCGAGCCUGGGUCGACUCA